rnacentral:rRNA from 1 species
UACGUAGGGCGCAAGCGUUGUCCGGAAUUACUGGGCGUAAAGCGUGCGCAGGCGGUGAUGUAAGACAGUUGUGAAAUCCCCGGGCUCAACCUGGGAACUGCAUCUGUGACUGCAUCGCUGGAGUGCGGCAGAGGGGGAUGGAAUUCCGCGUGUAGCAGUGAAAUGCGUAGAUAUGCGGAGGAACACCGAUGGCGAAGGCAAUCCCCUGGGCCUGCACUGACGCUCAUGCACGAAAGCGUGGGGAGCAAACAGG